rnacentral:misc_RNA from 1 species
AACUAUCUCAGAAAAAAUACACGCUCGCGCACCAAUUUCAUCUCUCAUAUGAAUUCAGCACCAUCUUCAAAGGAAGCUUCUCUUUUGAGGGGAAUGUUGUCUGGCUCGAGGACUCUCUUUUGAUCCAUUUUUCCUCAAAUUAUAUCCAUAGAUCUAAGCAUAUGUGGAUAUAGAGAGUAGAUUGAUCAUCAGCUAGUGUCGUCGGACCAGGCUUCAUUCCCCCCAAUUAAUGCUUCCAACCUAACUUUUCAAGGCUUGCAUGUAAAGGU